rnacentral:rRNA from 2 species
AAAUUGAAGAGUUUGAUCAUGGCUCAGAUUGAACGCUGGCGGCAGGCCUAACACAUGCAAGUCGAACGGUAACAGGAAGAAGCUUGCUUCUUU